UGGAAGACUGGUGAUAUGUUGUUUCUCCGAUUAGUUUCGUCAGAUCUGACACAAAUCAGAUUGGACACCGGACAACCUAUCACAAUCUUCCAUG
rnacentral:pre_miRNA from 1 species